GGCCCAUUGGUCUAGUGGUAUGAUACUCGCUUUGGGUCCUUGAUUCAAUUUGUGAGUGGUCUCGCGUUCGAAUCGCGGAUGGGCCC